rnacentral:rRNA from 1 species
UUCCGCCUACGGGGGGCAGCAGUGGGGAAUAUUGGACAAUGGGGGGAACCCUGAUCCAGCGACGCCGCGUGAGUGAAGAAGGAUUUCGGAAUGUAAAGCUCUAUCAGCAGGGAAGAAAAUGACGGUACCUGACUAAGAAGCCCCGGCUAACUACGUGCCAGCAGCCGCGGUAAUACGUAGGGGGCAAGCGUUAUCCGGAUUUACUGGGUGUAAAGGGAGCGUAGACGGUGCAGCAAGUCUGAUGUGAAAGGUCGGGGCUCAACCCCGGGACGGCAUUGGAAACUGUUGAACUGGAGGACAGGAGG